GCAGGAAAAAAUUCAAAGAUUACGCUGAGAUUUAUCAUCCAUCGAGUGAAAGUGUUCGAGAAAAUAACAAGCAUUCUCAUACAAAAGUUCAAAAUGACACAUCAGAUGAAAUCAUCGGGAAUCGAGAACAGGAUGAAUUUGAGUCAAAAUCUCACACAGUGGAUGAAACACAAGAUAUUGAAAAAGGAAAUGGAAUUAUUUCCUGCGAGGAAAACAUUGCAUUUGAGCUCAAGAAUGACCUUGAGUCGAUUCAUCAUAAGUUAAAGAAAAUGGAUCAACGACAAAGAGAGG